ACUUAACUAAUGCCCGUUUUCACCAACAACCUCUUACCGUUUCCCUAUCUAAAAGCUACUUUUAAUAAGGACCCCUCCCAAUUUGACACCUACCUAAAUUCAUUUUCACCACACUUGUACAUGGAUCCCUUAAGUAAGUGACAGAUUACUAGUUCUACAAACGAUAAUGCAAAGUCGAUAUUUUAUCGAUAAAAUGAUUUUUCUCUACUUCUUAAGAAAUAAACGUCUAUCGAGUAUAUAUUACUAAAGCCUAAGAAAAAGACAAGCUAGUGAAAUUGCUGACGUCUCAUAGAGACACAAUAUUAAACAAAAAACGGAUGGGACCACGAACGAAGCCAAAAACAAAGCUUGGAUCCAGUUACAAAUAGUUUUAAUGCGAUAGGAACCGUUUACAGUUUCAGGUGGUGCGAGAAAUUGGAAAGACGUGUAAAAACAUGCUGCGCCCAGCCCACCUCAAAUUGAAUUGGUGCAGGAGGAUGAUGAUAAUGUUUGGUACAUCAUAUGAGGACUAAUAUUAAAAUAUUUGUUUAC